CAUUGAUGCCUCCUUAUCUUACUGACAGGACUCAAGACCGCCCUGGGAUUUCAUGAUAUACACCAGCUGUCAGGAACAAACUGUUCGGGCAGCGUUGCAGCUUCACCACUGCUGAGCUGGAGACAGCAGCAGCUGGCACCAGCGUGGACCCAGCUCCUGAUGAGACAGGAUCUUUCCCCUUGAAGGUGCCCACAGGCUAAUGCUCUGCAGCUGGGAAGGGCCUGGUGCUGGGGAGGGAGAUGGGAAACACCUGGGGAGCCUGGAGGAGGGGCUGGAGCCUACUCCUCACAGAUCUGGCAAGGUUGGAAGCCCAGAAGAGGGCACAUCACCCCAUCGUCACAAAAUGGUGGAAGUACAGGAGCUGUUAGCCCAGAAUGAACCAAAGGAAAUGGGAACACAGCAAAACCUUCAGUGAGUGCUUUUUCCUCAUCUGGAACCUGCUAAGGGUAGAUGCAAAAAUGGUGCAGGCUGGGGUUUGCCUUGCAGUUUCGCUUACCAGCAAGGCAUCGCUGCCAUCUAGUGUCCCUGCCUUGCACUGCCAGCUCUGCACAAGGGCACAAGUUACAGCUGCUUUUACUUCUCCCUGGCCUAAAACGGACUACCUGUCUCUCACGAGCACCGUUUGGUCUGGCUUGACCUGCAGAGCACGUACCAGAGCAAGCUACCUGUGCUGCCCGAGCAAGAAGUACUUUCACUUCAGGUUAGUGAACAGAGGUCGCAUCUCUGCUGUACCACCUCUCCAUGCCUGCACCUCUCCUGCACCUUGGUGCUCCCAACUCAAUCUCUAACAUCUUUGUUCCCGGUUUCUUCACUCCUUUACGCGUACACCGCCGCUUCUGGCAUGGCUGAGGAAUCUCUGUCCGGCCACAGGGUCAUGGAAUCCUGAGAACUCAGUGUGCUUCUCUCACUAUAAUUUUGCAAUACCUUGACUGGCAAAAGAGGGAGAGGAGGGGGCAGGGGGUGUGAAGAAGUGCAGUAGCUUGCAUUCCUGUUUGCAGAGGUCGGGAUAAGGAAGGGUCUGAUGCCCUAGGAACAUGGGACACGAGGAACUGGGGAAGCUGGCUGGCUUGCCAGCAGUCUGGAUUAAGCACGAGGGUAACAAUAAGGAUAUCAUUUACAGCAUUUUGAGGGCUAUAUUUAAAGAAUUAUAGUAUCGCUUUUCUGGGAUUUAGUGUCUUAUCAAGGCUCUUCUCUGACAUGCACUUUCACUGACUUGAAAUCCUUCCUUCUGCUGCUCGCUUGUUACUUGGGGUAUUGUUGCUACUGAGCUUCUGAAAGUGGCCAAGGAGACGCUGCUUCCUCAGGGUCUGUGCGUGCAGGGGAGGAAUGGAGUCCUCCUGUUCCUCUGCAGGAGGCAACUCGACCAACCACAACAAACAGUGCAAGUACAAUUCCAAACCUGGUCACCGAGCGGGUGAAGGGAAGUAGAGGAGCAGCUGAAAAGAGAAACUCUCCAAACAGACCAGAGUUUGAUUGGAUUAAAAAAAGUGUAUUGGACGUCCAAUACAAAAUAAUAAACAUGAAGUUAUUAAAAAAAGCCAUAGAGUAUACAGCAAAUACUACAGAAAAGCAAAAAAAAAUUGUACAGAAAGGUAGACGUCUACA